UCCGCAUUAGUGUAGGGGUUAACAUACUCCGCUUUCAACAUGAAACCUCCGGAGAGCCCCGGGUUCGAUUCCCGGAUGCGGAA
rnacentral:tRNA from 2 species